rnacentral:ncRNA from 1 species
UAGUUAUAGCGCCAGGACACAAAGUUUUUGUGUUGACGAGGUCUAGGGUUAUCGAAAUUUUCGGCGGAUGCUCUAGUGGUUUCCUAAAAUCAAUAGUAUUCAUACAAAAAAUAGUAGUAAUACUACAACAAAAAU